rnacentral:lncRNA from 1 species
UUCAUGAUAGAGAGAGAGAGAAUGAGAGAGAGAGGCAGAGACACACGCAGAGGGAGAAGCAGGCUCCUUGCAGGGAGCAUGACUCUGGGCAAAAAGCCCGAUGCGGGACUUGAUCCUGGGACUCCAGGAUCACACCCUGGGCCAAAGGCAGGCGCUAAACCGCUGAGCCACCCAGGGAUCCCCAACACUUUUUUUUUUAAACCACUGCCAAUGUGAGAGGCAAAAUUACUUCACUACUUUAAUUUACAUUUUUAAAAAUUCUUGGCGAUGUUGAACAUCAUUUCAUAAGAGGAGGGCCCGGGUAUUAUGAAAAUACUACAUUGAAAAGUAGCUAAAUUUUUCUUUUCUGUAUGGCUGUGCUAGCAAUUCAGAUAACCAAGUUAAUUUCCUUUGUUUUAGGUUGCUUUCAUGUUUCUGAUUUAAUUAUGUUAAAUAGUGAUAUGGCCCCAAAGUUGAAACUACAAAACAAGCUACAUUUCAUAAUUGCUAUAGCCUGCCCCUCCUUGCUUCCCCUAGGCAACUAUUUUAUUAGUUUUCCCUUUAUCACCCUGCGUCUUUAUUUAUGUUCCCUCACCUUUCUUAUGCAAGAAUAGCACCCAGUAAAGACUUUUCUGGGCCUUGAUUUUUCCUUUUUAAUUAACAGUAAACCCUAGCUGUCACUCCAUAGCAGAAUGUAUCUUUUUCUUAGCAGUAGCAUUACGCUCUACCACGUGGAUAAUGCACCUGUUAAGGCUCGUGGCAAGUGUUCAGUCUUUGCUAUUACACAGAAUGCUGCAGUGAAAAGUCUUGCACAGAUAUUAUUUUGUAUUUCCACUAUUGGCUCUUUAGGGCACAGCCCUAGAAGUAGAUUCCUAGGUAAAGGGCAAAUUCAUAUACACGUUUGCUAAAUGCUUCCACACUUCUUUCCAAAGGGGUUGUAUCAUUUUGCAUCCCCACCAGCUCCACACUAACUGGAUUAAGUAGGUGAUUCCACUUUUCAUUUCUAGAAGUUCCAUCUGGCUGUUUUUCAAAUCUGCUAGGUGAAUCAUGCUUCCAUUUCCCCUGCAGUUCCACACUCAUCUUUUAUGCCUUCAAACAGAGUAGGCACAACUGAUUCAUAGUCUGACCUUGGCAAUUGUGACUUUCGGAGCCUAUUUCUGCUGUUGGUUGCAGCUGCUGGUUCCUGUCCGCAGCACCUUGCUCAUUUCUCACUGUACACUGGUCACUGUCCUUGAAUAAUAGUUUAAGGGCUCCUUGAAGCCUAGGACAAAUGCCUUUCCUCCAGAGGAUGUACAUUUGCUCUGCCAGGCACCUUAGGAGGACUACAAGUCUAGGGAUCCUCCAAGAACUGAAGUCAUAGCAGGAGGUUUCCUUAUAUGUAGCCACUGACAUAGCAAAAUGGAGAGAGGGUCUCCUAGUAGACCCUUGCCUUGAACCCUUAACCCCUGAGACCCUCAGGGCAAAAAGACUGAGAGUAUCUUAGAUGCCUCGUGGUGGCUGCCCCCCCUAGCAUUUGACCUGGAAGUUCUUCACAACCUGUUGGCUCUUCAAAACUUCAAGAUAUUUUUGUAUAUUAUCCGGCAUUUUUUGUUAAAGCAGAAUAGCUGGUCUGAAAUAUCUGGCCCAUCACUACCAGAGACAGAAGUAUUAACAUGCACUUUUUAAAAAUUAACUUUUAAUUAGACAAGUGACAAGAACACAUUUCCUUGCAAAAAAAGUAAAACGUGUGCAAUAUAUUCACUAGUCUGUAUGCCAAAAAUGGGCUUCUCUUUGAGUAGUCAGGGGCUAAUUCAAGUCUUGUCGUCUUUCAUUAUGACUCAGAAUGGUUUAAUGAAAAAAACCUUAAACAAAAUCAAAACUUUGAAACAACACAGUAAGGCAAGGUCUCCUUUGGCCAUUACCCCAUUUCUAGGACACAUCACUGACACUUACGAAGUCUCUUGUAAUCAUACCUAUCCUCCACCACCAUUGUGACUUCUAAUGCCAUAGAUGACUUUCCAAGAGUGGUUUUCAAAUUAGAAAAAUAUACCAUAAAAUAAUUGAUUUCCAUCUUCUUUUGAAUACUCAGGAGUUCUGGAAAUAUUUACCUUGGCCCAGGUGCCCAGACAUGGCAAUGACCACCCCUAGGAUUUCUCUAGUUUGGCAGAGUACCCAGUACCCAGAUCCCCUGGUGUCUAAUUCUGGAAGCUUCACCCAUUGACAACCCCUGCCCGGUCUCCAAAGAUGUCUGAAUUUUACAACUCCUAGUUGGCCAGUCCUCUACUGACGCUAUUCAAGUAGUUUCUGGAUUUUCCUUAAAAAAAAAAAAAAAAAAAA